CAAAGAAUAGUUUAAUGUAGAAUCCUAGCUUUGGGAGCUAGGGGCGGGGGUUAAACCCCCUCUUCUUUGA
rnacentral:tRNA from 1 species